rnacentral:rRNA from 1 species
UACAGAGGGGGCAAGCGUUAUUCGGAAUUACUGGGCGUAAAGCGCACGUAGGCGGCUUUGUAAGUUAGAGGUGAAAGCCCGGAGCUCAACUCCGGAAUUGCCUUUAAGACUGCAUCGCUAGAAUUGUGGAGAGGUGAGUGGAAUUCCGAGUGUAGAGGUGAAAUUCGUAGAUAUUCGGAAGAACACCAGUGGCGAAGGCGACUCACUGGACACAUAUUGACGCUGAGGUGCGAAAGCGUGGGGAGCAAACAGG